AUCCAGCUGACGAGUUCCAAAUAGGAGAAGACGUGCGUCCUGGAU
rnacentral:hammerhead_ribozyme from 1 species